UACAGAGGCCUCGAGCGUUAGGCGGAAUCACUGGGCUUAAAGCGUGUGUAGGCGGACUUCUAAGUACCUUGUGAAAUCCCACGGCUCACCCGUGGAACUGCUUGGUAUACUGGUUGUCUUGAGCCUUCUAGGGGCGAGUGGAACAAAUGGUGGAGCGGUGAGAUGCGUAGAUAUCAUUUGGAACGCCAAUGGUGAAAACAACUCGCUGGGGAAGUGCUGACGCUGAGACACGAAAGCCAGGGGAGCGAACGGG
rnacentral:rRNA from 1 species